rnacentral:rRNA from 1 species
CACGUAGGAUCCGAGCGUUAUCCGAAUUUACUGGGCGUAAAGCGCGUGCAGGCGGUUUGGUAAGUUGGACGUGAAAUCUCCCGGCUCAACUGGGAGGGGUCGUUCAAGACAGCCAGACUAGAGGGCAGUAGAGGGAGGUGGAAUUCCCGGUGUAGUGGUGAAAUGCGUAGAUAUUGGGAGGAACACCAGUGGCGAAAGCGGCCUCCUGGGCUGCACCUGACGCUCAGACGCGAAAGCUAGGGGAGCGAACGGG